rnacentral:lncRNA from 1 species
CAGAAAGUUCGGCAUCGACGGGGCGGGAGGUGGGGGCGCUGCCCCGCGCCUUUGUUCAGCGGGGAGAGGACCUGCGGCGGAGCCGAGACGACCGCGCAGAUAGGCACGCACCCGGCAGCGCGGCCCCGCGCCCACGGGACGAGGAGGAGGAGGGAGGCAGAAGGUCCCCUUGCAGCCUCCCUCACUCUCUCCCUCCCUCCAAGGUCAAAACAUGGCUGUCCAAAGAAUGGGAUGCUUGCCAAAACAUCAAUCUGUGCUGAGUGCCAUACUCAUUAUCCUUCCAGUGGUGGAUUACAACUCGGGUCUCCUCAGGAGGUGACUGAUGUGGAACAAACUGUACGACUGUCUUUGCUGUUUGGAUACGUGUGUAAGUUAACGGGCUACUGGGAGAAGAUGAAGAGGCUUUUGCAGAAAAAUGAGGAUAUCAUGGGAAGUGCUGCUGCUAACCAUUUGGAUUAUAUUGCUGUCUGACACAGAAGUUCUGCAGAUUACGUAAGGAACUCUCCAGAUCUUUUUUGUUAUGUGAUUGCUGAAGCAUUUUCCUGGCACAGCAGUAAUGAUUGAUGAACACACUUCAGACUAGGAGCCACAGAGCAGUGAGGAUUUAUGCAUCUGGAAUAGAACUAUGAAUGGGAUUGCAGGAUUUACAUGGAGGACUCUGAAAUCCCUCACUUCCUGCUCCAGGAAGGGUAGUAUCUUUACAUCACUACAUGAUGCAGAUGGAUCACUCUUUGCCAGCUGCCAAAUCAAAUAUUGCUGUACAGUCUCUACCUUCAGCAACAUCCUCAGUGUUCUGGUGGUGGGUCCCUUGAAAGGAUGGGGCAGAACAGACUUCAUGCCACCCCUGUACUUCAAGCUCUCUGCUCUGUAAGUACACUGGAUAAUCUUGUGGCUAUAAGAUGGCAUUUCCAAUUUAAGUAGAGUGUUCUGAAUUGAAAAAAGCUGGAAGUUUCUAGUGAUUUCAGUAGGAUGAAACUUACUAUCUGGCUAAAAUAUAGAGGAAAGGAACUUUACUACACAUGAAAGGAACUUUAAAGAUUUAUUAAUCUUUAUAAUGGACAGAAGCUUCCCUGAUUCUUUAAGAAAUCAGUAUUUUUCCUGUGGUAUAUCACAAGUGUACUAUAAGUGACAGGCAGCAUCUGAUAAAAUUCAUUAUUUUGCUGCUGCUUCUAAGAAGAAAGGGUGGAGAUGCUUUUGGGUGUUUUGAAAUAUGUUAUGUGUAGAGGUGUACGUUUUCCAGCUUUAAAAAGAUGUGACUGUGACCCAAUUGCACUUUAGCUGAAAUAAACAUUUUGGGGAGGAAUUUAGCUGAGUGGUUAUUUUUGGUCUGGCGGAGGGGAAGCCAACGGAGUGCCUGUUAUUACCCUGAUGCUGAUUACUGGAACUGACCAGCUUAAGGGCAAUUUGGUAACUUUGUUUAAAAACAAAAGUAGGUCCAGCUGUGAUUUAGAGAGGGAGAAGCUCUAAACCGCUUUUUUAUUUUCCUUUAAGAUAAAUAAUAAAAAACUUUCCUAGCUGAAAACAUUAUCUGAACCUCACAUGAUGUGGGAUUCAGGGAAUUAACAGGAUGAUUCAGGCACACAAUCUUAACACUCAUACCCAAUCUUGAGAAUUUUCCUUGAGGGAUAAAACUUCUUUCCUGCUUUUGGUCAAAAAACAAGCCAAACCCUAACACUGAGCUCUGGCAUACGCUGUAGUCCAGUAUAACCUCAGGAUGCAAGCAGUGUGACUUUAGCAGACGUUUGCAGCACUCCUCCCUGUCACUCCUUCCCUUUCCUCUCCUCUGCUCCAUAUGGAGACAUGUGCCAGCAGCUGGAAGCAGGGGCUGAAGGGCGGUUCAAAGUGUUCCUUUGUUAUUUUUUAUUAGGGAGUGUGACAGAGGGCACUGAGAGCUGCUGUUUGUAUUAGCUUGCAUCUGUGUUUGCAGACAGAGCAAGGGCGCUGGCUGAGCUCAGCCCCCGAGUAACAGAAAGUUCUAAUCUUGCUGCCCUUCUGCUCUCCUGAUGCAACUCCAGUUUGGUUUUUCUAUAAAGGGAAGAAAAAUUGUCACACGGGCUGCACUGAUGCAGCAGGAAUUGAGCAUGCUCUGAACAGGCAACAUUUCCAAAGUGGCCACAUAGACUCAGUUCAUGGUGGGUUUGUUUCAUGUUCCUUCCCUUGCCAUUUCUCCUUAAAAAUAAACAAAUGGACUCAAGCAAAAUAUAUCCUUUUACUUAUGCAAGAAAUAAAGGAAGUUAGUGAGACUUGGUGCCCCUCCAUACUGCUCUUAACUUCAAAUGCACACGUGCCCGUAUAUUUUCUUGCUUUUUUCCUCUUAGGAGUGCUUUCAUUGGUGGUCCUCCUGACAGUGUGGCUUAUAGAUUCCUCUGACAUAAUCUUUGACAUCUUUAAAUCUACAGUCUGAUUUUUUUUUUCUUUCCCUUUACCAUUCUUCCUUAAUACACAGCCACUUCUCUUCCCAUUCACUUGGUUCUUUCACUUGUUGAAUUGGUAAAAUCUUUUUACUUACUGGUCCCCAGAUGAAUCAAGUGAUGCCAAAUUACCUGGGGAUUUCUUGAUUAUUAUUGUUAUUAUUUUAAAAGUUCAUUUUAUUUGUGCCAUUAUUUUUUUCUGGUUUCCUGUUCUUUCUGGUUAAUGUCUGUGACCCAUCUUUUCUCUGUCUUAGUUCAUAGACUCUCUGUGGUCUUUUAAAAUUGACUUGACUUUAUUUGAUUGAUUGUUUCCAAUUUUCCUGCUGUUCUGAUCCUAUCUCACAGCUGCUCUUAGGAGGUAAUCUCUAACAUUCCCUCUCAAACAGAAUAACUUUACUAAAUAGUUUAGGAUUUGGCUAACACAGUUGUAGACAAGUAGAUCCAGAGCUUGCCUUAUCUGUCUUGUUUUAAGACAAAUCCAACCUGAUAGGAUGGUCAGACUGGCUGCCUGCAAUAUACUGCCUUUCACCUCAUUUCUGAUUUCCCUUUUGUUGAGCCAUAUGCUGCCAACAUCCUUGUCAUUUCUCUGUCUCCUCCCUUUCCUCCAGCUGAUGUUUUGGCACUAUUUAAAUCCAUGUCCAGUUGUGCUUUUAUUAAACACAGGGAUGGAAAUUCUGCCCAGUGGUUCCUUUUCAGUCUCCACCUCCUUUUGUUUUGUCUUAAAUGCAUUUAAGGGGAAGCAGGAGGAGAGAUGGAAAAGGAAGGGUUCAGUCUAGACUUUCAGAGCAGUUUCUCUUUCCCUAAAGAGCACAGCUCAUUUCCUUACAGAGUAGCAUGGCUGGGAAGUUGUGUAUUUCUUCUCAGCACUAACUUUCCUGAAAUUUGUUGAAUCAAAGCAUAGCUACUAAGCAUAAACACAAAUGUGUGAGUGUUCUCCUCUCUCCUGCUUCAGAGUAGAAGAAUGAGCAGAGUAAUGAGUGAAGGGGAGCAGCUACAGGGUGGAAACGUUGAAAGAAAAUAGAUAAAUAUCCAUAGACACACCUGCACUUAGGUGUUUCUGCACCGUGGGGCCUCACAGAGGUUGUUUUUUUGCCAGAAAUGAUUCAAGGACAGAAAACUGAGCAAUGUGGAAGUUGAUGAUUUGCCUGAGGGUUAUUUACAAGGUUUUGCCUUUGCAAAAAAAGUGUUACUUUAUGGCUGUAACUUUAACCCUUCAUACAUUGCACUUAGCCAAAGACUGGAGAGAUUCUUUUUUCUUCAAAGUGCAUCUACAGUUGCUGGUUUUGAAUAAAGGCCCAUUUAAUACUGGUUCAUCUACUCUUGCCAAGUUUCUGUGUUUGCUUUGAAUCAAAUUAAAUUGCAUUGUCAUAUUAAAAAUGAGUAGUGUAGUCUUCACCAAGCUGUUUUCCUCUGUGAUACUCUGUUUAAAUUUUUUGGUAAAUGAAGCUUGGUCUGGUUAGAAAGAAAAUGUUUAAAAAACAAACACAAAUACCCAAAAAACAAGUGAUGAGAUCAUAAUUUCUCUACUUCAUGGAGUUUCCACUUUAUUAAUGUAGCUGCUUCCUUAUGUGUUUGUUUACUUACGAGAUGAGGUUUCUUUUGUGUGAAGAUGUGGACAGGAAGAUAAGCUGAAAUCUGACGGUGUCCUUGGUUUAAGAUAACUCAUCCAUUCAGUUUGUAUUCUGCUUAGUGAAACAAAGCUACAUAAUGUUUGUUGUUCUGCCACCACAAGGUAAAAUACCACACUGCUCCUUGCCAUCACAGUGAUGUUUUUCCAAAUGAAAGAAAGUACCUGUCUUAAGAAGAGACUGUGUAUGGGCAGGCGUGCUGGUGAGGUGUGGCUACUACAUCCCCUUGAUCAUCGUUGCCUAUUCUUCCUAUUUUUUCUUCUUAACUUUGUUGCUUUGUGUGUUUUGGAUUCUGCUGCAUGUAGUAGGUGCUAAGGCUGUGUCUUGUAUAUUGGGUGAAAGUGGGAGGUUAAGGUGCUGCUUCCUAUGAGGGAGAAUGGAUGUGCAGCAAACAAAUGAUUUAGCAAAUGCUACUUUUGAAGGUGUGACCAGAGCAGUGCACUCUGACAAGGGCAGAAACUGCAACAGCAGGCAACAUUUUCAUCCAACUAGGCAAAGACAAGUGAGUAUCUCCUAUUUUUUUGUAAUUUUCAUCGUUUUAUAGAUAUCUACUCUAAUGGUACUGGGCUCGGCAAAGGGAGAUUUUGAGGCAUAAAUUAGGACUGCGAGUGUUUUUGCACAUGUUAUUGCUCAGUCUGGCAGGAAGCAGUCCCAAAGAAAAACCGGCUGUGUUCAAGGAAAACCAGAGUGGGAAACAGUGCUGUGCUAAAAGCUGAAUGUGGCAGUUCAGAAUACAUGGAGGCAUAGGUGGAAGUUAAAAGAAGAAAAAGCAGGAGGAAUAUCUAAUUUUGUGGUUCAUCAUCUGAUGGGAUUCCAGAGCCCUGGCUGUGUCUCAGGAUCUGUCUUGUAACUGCACAGCAAAAUUCUUGGAUUUGCAAAAUAAGAGUAAUAAGUGCUUGAAGUUAUUGGUUUAAAAUGUAAUAACUAAAGAUUGAGUUUUAUCAUUGCUGAUAAUAAUGUGGUUAUUCAUUUAUACUCAUUCUAAAUUUUAUGUCAGAAAAACAUUACUGUUUUUCUGUGUACAGUGUAUGAUGCAGUGUAGGAUGCAUACAUAUUUCUCUGUGUGUCUUGCUCAGAGGCAGACUGUAAAGAUUUAGAGUUCUUUGCUUUAUCCUGAUAUGUAACAUACACUGUAGCAGUAGAAUUCGUUCAGAUCAAUAUAUUUAAUACUUUCUUAGUAAAUGGUCAACAGAUAAACCACAUCAUUUGAAGAGGAAAUCAAAGUUUACUUUCUGGUUUGGCAGGUCUCUCAUUUUUUACAAAACAAGACAGAGUAGGCCAGAUUUAGUAUAGCAUCCACAUGGAUCUAAAGAUCUAUGCAUGCUUUAACUGAAGACGGUAGAAGAAAGCAGAUAAGAGCUACAUUUUUUACUUAUGAAGAAAAGUUGAGGGAGCUUGGCUUGUUUAGCUUGGAGAAGACAAUGCUCUGGGGAGACCUCAUUGUGGCCUUCUAGUACUUGAAGGGAGUGUAUAAACGGGAGAGGGAACGGCUGUUUAUGAGGGUGGAUAGUGAUAGGACAAGGGGGAAUGGUUUUAAACCGAGACAGGGGAGGUUUAGGUUAGAUAUUAGGAGGAAGGUUUUCACUCAGAGGGUGGGGAUGCACUGGAGCAGGUUGCCCAAGGAGGUUGUGGAUGCCCCAUCCCUGGAGGCAUUCAAGGCCAGGCUGGAUGUGGCUCUGGGCAGCCUGGUCUAGUGGUUGGCAGCCCUGCACAUAGCAGGGGAGUUGGAACUAGAUGAUCAUUGUGGUGCUUUUCAACCCAAGCCAUUCUAUGAUUCUAUGAUUCUAUAUGAUCUUGAUUACCAUAGUUGUAGCUGACAAUUUUACAGGAGGUACAUAAGAAUGUACCUUUGCAUCAGUUUCAGGUGUAUUUGUACUAGGAGCGGCAGUGCUCAGGCCUAUCUCUAGAUUACUAAUGUAUUAUUUGUAAAGUGUACCCUUUUCAGUUUUCCUGGCUAAAAUAAGAUAUAUUUUUAUUUAAAAAGUAAGUAUACGUUUGGCUAUGUAUAGAUUUGGAAAAAAAAUCUGAUAGCUUGCUUGCUUAGUGAACAGCCGUUGGAUGCAGUCUCUAAUCUCAGAGCUGGUUGCUGGUUUCACCUGCUUUCUCUCAGUAUUGCUGCUGUUCUCAAAGUUACUCAGGCAGGUAACUAUGAUGCUAAGUAGAACUGGGAAAUAUGCAUGUAAACAUUAUUUUUGCCUCACAGUUUUUUCUUUUGUGCAAAAAUGGUGAAUAAUCACCGUCACUAAACUGGUUGGAAGCAGAAAGAAUGACAUGUUGCACCAAGGACAGAGAAAUGAGAAAAAUCUUGGAGUUUUCUAAAUGUUUACAGGAACUUCCUGAGAUUUCAGGAAGUAGAUGAAGACUAACUGGGUUGUGUAUCACCUUGACUCUUGAUAACAUCACCUAAGUAUUCAAUUGGUGCUAUAGAAACAACUGUGAUGGAAGAACCGUAAUGCUUUUCAGAAAAUAGCUUUUUGAGAUGCAGCACUAUCCAUUCCUUGUCACAUGUGUAGCACUGCUAAAGCAGCUCAAAGUAAAUCCCUCUGUCACAACUGCCUAAAAUGGUUCAAGGCUGAGAAACAAAGGCAACUCUCCUUACCACAUCCCUAAAUUCUCCUUUUCUACUUUCCUACUCUACUGCCCUUCAUAUCAGGAGGAUUACUGGAUAUACUUCUGGGAAAUUAACAGAAUGUUUGUUUUGCUUCUUUUCAAAGUGUUUUCAUGGUUUUAGGUGAGUGUUUGACUUAUGUUCAUUGGCCCUUGCACAAGACUGUGAAAGCUAUUUCCUUUUCCCUUAAUUAAAGCAUAUAGAAUAUCAGAUUUUUCAGAAGUGAAUUUCCUCUCAGGAGAUAGGUGAGCAUAUGUAGUAGAAGUGGUUGUUUUUAUAGACUUGUGCAGUUGGUUCUUCUAAACUUUCCAGAUACUUUCUUAAGACAAACUACAGACAGAAGUACUGUCUGGUGGUUUGUUUGUUUGUUUGUUUGUUUUUACUUAAAUAUAGCGGUAGCAGGAACACCGUAUCAAAUGUUGACAUGGUGAAGGCAACGGACAAGGCAAGUUCUCUGUGUAACUUGAUUUGAGAUAGUGAAGCUCUACUAGCCCUCUGUUUGUUUGUUUGGUGUUUUUUUUUUUUUUUUCCUGGUAGUAUGAGGGCUGCUCCAAAAGUAAUGCCUCCUAUUUUAUCAUGCUGGCCCAUGAUGUCAGAGAUGGAUGUUGGUGGUAUGGCAGUAGAAGUAGAACCUGUCUAUCAGUAUCCUGUUACAUUUUGUGCCAUGGCAGCAGAGGGGCAGUCUGACAAAGUGACGUCUGACACGAAAGAGCGGGUGAAUGGAUGUUACUGAAUUUCUCUGUGCUGAAAAAAGUGGCACCCACUGACAUUCAUUUGACACUUGUUGAACAUUGAUGGAGGCCAAACAGUGGAUGUGAGCACAGCGAGACUGUGGGUGGUACAUUUCAGCAGUGGUGACAGUGACAGUGGAUCACCUCCACUAAUGCAGAUUUUUAUGAUUGCGGCAUGCAAGAUCUUUUUCAUUGCUCGUGAAAAUACAUAGCUAAUGGUGGUGACUGUGUUGAAAAAUAGUGUUUUUUAGUCAAGGAUUUGCUCAAAUAGUAUUAUUUACUCUUUCUAGCUGUUGUAGUUUUUCAUAGUUUCCAAGUAAAUAGGAGGUAUUACUUUUGGAGCGACCUACGUAUUUUUGUGCAUGACUUAUUUGAAGCUCUGGUACGUGAGUGAAGAAAGGAUAAAAGGGGAAGACAUUUCCUUCUCUUUUUCUUAUGUUCUGGUUUUUAAGGCCAUGUCUUUUUAUAUCUGCUGGUUUAUCUGUGUGGGUGGGCAGGUAUGAGUCUCAACCUGUCUUCCCCUUGUGCAAUGUAAUGUGGAAGUUUAGGUUGGUAUGCUGCUGGGGCCAGCCCACAUCCUUCACCCACACAGCCUCAUGAAGCAGUUACACACAUCAAUCAGGGAAAACCCUCAUCUCUGCACACCGUUGGAGCAGGUGCAUAAGCUCAGGGUGACAACAGAUGUCUGUCACAUUGCCACAGGCGGCCACUAGUGCCUGCCAACUUGUCUGCCUACAACAAAUCUAACUUAUGUCUGAGUGUUGUCCAAAUGCUUCUUGAAAUCUGGCAGGCUUGGUGCAGUAACCACUGCCCUGGGGAGCUUGUUCAAGUGCCCAACUACCCCCUGCUAAAGAAUCUUUUCCUAAACCCCAACCUGACUGUCCCCUGAUAUAGCUCCAUGAUGGUUCUGUCACUGUAAUCAUAGAGGAGAGAUCAGCACUGCCUCUCUGCUGUCCUCAUCGGGAAGCUGUAGGCUGCCAUGAAGCCUCCCUUCAAUCUCUUCUUCCUUGCACUGAAGAUACCAAGGGACCAUUGCUGCUCCUCUUGGGGCAUCUUGGCCUCUAGUCCCCUCACCGUCUUUGUAGCCCUUCAUUCCCUCUUGUACAAAAUAGCCCGAAGAUGGAGUUAUUGGCUUUUUCCAAGUCCUAUAUACUUUGAGUGUACUACAGAGUAUGAGGCAAAAUCUGUUCCUCUGUGCCCAGGUAACUGUAUAGGGGCAUCACUAAAUUAAUUUGCUCUUGGAAGUUAAGUAGUGUGUCUCUGGGUUGUAUCAGUACAUAUGAAAGAAGAAUUCAGUGUCAUCUUUUUCAAAUGGAAUGUUGUCUUUCUUUGGCUAAAUGAAUAGAGGAUAUCAGAACAAAUUAUGCUUGGGUCUUAGGCAGGUGGGCAGAGAAGGAAAUCCAAGAGUGCUCCCGUCUUGAGCAUGCUCUUCAACAGUUGGCAGAGUGGUAUCUCCACCAUUUUGGGGUUUUGGAAGUUAAAUAUCUUCAGAAAUGGAGUUCAGAGUACCAUCCAGUCUGCUUGUAGCUCUUGUGCUUUGGGGGCAGAAUGUAUCCAUAUCAUCCUCCCAGUUGCAAACCAAACAUUGGUUAUGAAAAAGGAACAAGUGCAUGAAGAAACCUACAGAACUGACUUACUCACUUAUUUUAUUUUUACACUUAACCUAUAGAAAGGAUUAUGGUGUUGUGUUGUUGUUGUUGUUUGUUUAAGAAAGAGUGGUAUUAAAGAAGCACAUAUUCAACAUUUAAAAAGUAGCAGCCUUCCUGAAUCAGUGUAUUCACAGACAAGAAAAUUACAGGGUAAGGGCCUAGUUGGGAGCAAAUUCCCUUUACACUGCUAAGUCAACAGUGUUCAUGCUGCUUCAUUUCACCUGCAGAUAAUGACAGGGACAGAUGCCUAGACUGAGGAAAGGAGUUGGCUUCAGUUCUACUGCACGUGAUUCUUAGGUGUGAUAGAGAAAUUCUGACUCCUAUAUUUCCAGCUUGGAAACACCAAAAUUUUUUCUUGUUAUUUAAUUUAUUGUAGUACAGAGAAGCUUAAAUAGUUAGUAACUGUAUGUAACAGAGAAGAGUAUCUAUUUUGUUUUAAAAUUAACUUAACAAAGUAUGGAUGCAAAAGUCUGUGUGUGAGGGAAGUGAAGAUGGGAAGAAUUGUGAUUUUUUUUUCUUCUAAUUACAGGUAAUGACUUAGCAAGUAUACGAAUAAUAUUGCCAUAAAUAUUAGAUCACAUAGAUAAUGACGCCAUCUUCAGCUACAUUACAUAACUUUUUGCUGGUGCACAUUCCACAAAAAGGGUAGUGAAUCUUCAUGCUUCAGGGUGUGAACUCACCACCAACUGAACAGUUAAGAAAUUCUUCCUGUAGAGAGAAAUGCCAUCUUGCCCUGCUCUACCUGUUUGUUUUUCUUCUAAGAAGCAUCUGCUCAUAUCUUCUCUUGAAAACAAACUCUUAGACCAACUGCUUUGACAUUAGUUUUUUUUUUUUUUACCUUUCCUAAAGAAGUUGGUCCCUACUCAUUUCUCACUCUGCUGAGUGAGAAAGAUGCUGAGGUGUUGGUGGUCCUGCUUUAAGGUAUUAAGGUGCUGCUUUUUAUGCAUUUGGUUAACGCUGUACUGAUAUUGAUCUGCAGACUGAAGCACAGGAGAGUAACCACGUGAUGGUCACACUUGGCUUUGCUCCAUUUUGCUAUUUUAUCAGACAAAUGAGCUUGCUUUCCUAAUCAGGUUUUCACACAAUAAGCCUUGAAGGGCCUGGUACAGAUGGUGGGAGAACUGAAAUGGGUCAGGGGAGGCGGGAAAGAAAAACAGAAAAAUAUUUGUCAGGCUUGAUAGUGCUAAUGAAAACAUAAAGAAAGAAAGAAGGAAAGCAGUGUUUAGAGAGCGAAGAGUGACCUGACAAAUGUGACCUCUGUUUUUCCCAAGGGCCCCUGACUUUGAAACCAAAGCUGGCUUUAAUGUUCACCAGGUGUCAUCAAGGUGUUUUGAUUCCCUUUAAGGACAGGAAUUAGCCUUAUAGUUUCUGUAUCUACACUUCAGCGAACUUUGGUGACAAGGGUAUAUUCUUGUUCAGAGCAUAACCCUUGAGGUUCAAAUGGCAUGAGCAGCUCAAAAAUUAGUUCUGUUACUUCCACAGGAGAUGAUGAAUGCAGACCUGUAAUUCACACAGGUUUUUCUGCAAGAGCCUUUCCAACCCUGUCCUUUCUUGAACGUGGUCUAACUGAGCAUUUCUGAACAGCCAGACAGUGCAGUGGGAAAGCUAGGAGAUGCAGCACAGAAGCAAUGCUGGCAGUAAGAUUAUUCCUCAAACUAAAAUAAUUCUUUAAAGUUCAGUAUUUUGUCAGCUGAGAUUAUAGUUCAAUUUCCUGGAAGAAGUGAGAUGCUACUUUGUUGAAGAUAUAUGGCUCUUUGUCUGCUGUUGUUAUACAGGCAAAUUGUUGUUACUUAUCAUCCUUUUCUGGCUGCUUCCUCUCUGUGGGUAAUUGUGCCUCUGAUAUUACCAAGAUAUCUCAGCCUUGCUUGUGGUUUGAGUGUUGUAUACAAAUUUUUAGCUCUUCAGGUGACUGUCUUGUCCUUCAGAAGGCAGCUUUGUAGGAAUAGAGCAUACUGUCAGGCAGAGGAAACAACCUCCUGAAUGGUGUGCCUUUGCACCACCUACCCCUCCCUCAUUACCUCUGAGAGCCAACCAUUUCUAAACUUUUCCUCUCCUCUUGUGAGGCAUGAAAAACGUAAGCAACUCAUCUAAUGCCCUGAUCCUGAUAUCCUACUGCAGGUAGGGGGUUAGGGUUGUAAUGUGCCCAUGACAGAAGGUUUUUCUGGGAAGCACCUAGGGCUAUCGAAGGGUCAGUUCAUGACCAAUUCAGUGGAUGGAUGCUUUAAGAAAAGAGUAAGAUACCAUCUUUAACACUUCUAGGUAUACUAUAGGACUGUGUAGGUCCAGAAUUGCAAAGGAUAACUGCUGCUUCUUUUCAUCAGUGUGAGAUCUCCUGCAGCCAAUAUCUGUUCCAUGAUCGCCUUCUGCAUCAAUAUCUGUUCAUUUAAAAAAUGUAUGACCAGAACAGAUUCAAUGAGAGUUUGGGGAUACUGUUGUGCACAUUGUCAAAGAUCUAAGAUUGCUAGACCAAAAAUGAAGUUGUUGUUUUUAUCAGUAAUUACAUUUCUUAUUGUGGCACAAAUCCCCACUCAUCUUAUGUUUGUGUAGGAGUAUUCAGUUUAUCCUUUAGUAGUGUUUUAUAUUUAAAUUGGAGAAUGACUGCAUAACCUUAUAGGGAAGAAUGGUAUUUACAUUCAGGGGAAACACUAUAUUAAUUAGCAAAUAAUCACAGAAUCACAGAAUUGCAGGGAUUGGAAGGGACCUCAAGACAUCAUUGAGUUCAAUCCCUCUGCUGAAGCAGGUUCCCUACAAUAAGUUGCACAGGUAGCCAUACAGACAAGUCUUUAAUGUCUCCAUAGAAGGAGACUCUGGAACUUGUCUGAGCAACCUCUUCCAGUGCUGUCACCCUUAUUGUAAAGUUCUUCCACAUGUUUGUAUGGAAUUUCCUUUGUUCAAAUUUUAGUACAUUGCUCCUAUCACAGUGCUAUCACUGUGCACCACUGAGAAGGGCCUGGCCUCAUCCACUAGCUUCCCAUCUCCUUUUAGAUAUUUAUAAACAUUAACCGGAUCCCCCCUUAAUCUUUUUUUCCCCAGACUAAACAGACUUAGGCUCCUCAGCCUCUCCUCAUAUGGGAGAUGCUCCAGGCCCCAAAUUAUCUUCGUGGUCCUCCAUUGGACUCUUUAUAGGAAAUCCCUGUCUUGUUUGAACUGAGGAGCCCAGAACUGGACACAAUAUUCCAAAUGUGGUCUCACCAGGACAGAGUAGAGGGGGAGGAUCACCUCCUUGACCUGUUGGCCACACUCUUUUUAAUGCACCUCGGGAUACCAUUGGCAUUCUUGGCCAAAAGAGCAUACUGCUGGCUCAUGGCCAACCUAUUGUCCACUAGAACACCCAGGUCCUUCUCUGUAGAGCUGACAUGAUAAAAUUGAAGCAUAUUGCUUUUUCAGUUCAACUUUGUAGAAUGUAUGAUUUAAGAGUGUCUGCAAAAGUAAGUCGUUGUUCCCGUGUCCUGAAAAUAACUUUUGCAGAUACAAUGAAGUACAAUUCAGUCCUAAUGGCUAAAAGUUUGGAAAAGAAAUGCUGUCCAAAGAUAGGCGCAGAGUAUAGUAAUAAUAAUAUAAUAUAUGACUUUAGAAUAGAGUAUCAUAUGCCUGUAAACUAAAGUCAAAGUGUUCACAUGUAGAUCUAUAUGGAAGCAUGAAUAUCUUGUUAAUAUGUAUUUACUAUUACAGGAAAAUUUCCACCCAGGUACAUACUCUUUUUACAUCACAAUGGGGUAAAUCGCUUGCAGUUGGUAAGUGGGAUUUAGCAGUGCUACAGGAGUGUGUACAGCUACUGUGGGUUUUGGGGCCAGUUAUAAUCACUAGGGAGAUCGAAGUCUAUUGAAAACCAGAAAAUCUCAACAAGUGUUUUAAAUGAAUUGUUGAAAUCCUUUAAGUGGAUUUCAUAAUAAAAGUAUCUGAAUGCAUUCACAUACAUAGGGAAACCUGAGUCCAUGUGGGCAUUGCUGGGCUGUGGUCUAAUUUUGUGUAAUACUAUCAUAUAGCUAAUCCUGUGCUACUGUGCAGUGCAAGAUGUCUUGGAUAUUGCCUUCUGAAUUGAUUCAGAACCCUUAUUAGAAUAAGGACACUUCUAUUGCAGAACAUGGGCUUGUUCAAGUGUACUGAAUGAUUUUAAGGAUGCUUCAAUGUUUGGAAUGAGGCAACAGUGCCUGAAGGAGAGUGUUUCAACAGCAAUUUGAAUGUGUAAGAACAACGAGUCCAUCUUGGAAAUUGUUGUGGACAUUAUUGCUUUAUUUCUAUUAUUCUUGAUGUAGUUAAAAGUAGUUCUUCAAUAUUUCUGAAGUCUUCCUUAGUCUGUGUUCAGCAGCAAAUUCUGGCAAGUUCACAAGCAGCUGCAAAAAUAACAAGAGCAGUAAUUCGAAAGGAAGCUGCUUCAAUAUUUGCAGCUGAAAAGUUCUCCUGCUGAAUUCCCAGAUGUAACCUUUAGCUUCACUGCCUCAUCGAUAUAAGUAUAUUGUAUAAGGAACAGCAUCUGGUAUGACCUUUACUACUUUUCUUUCUUUUUUUCACAAAUGAUUUUGUUGUUGCUAUAGAAGGAAAAAAAAAUAUAUUCUACACAUUUCUGAGAAAAGAAAAAUUGUUUCCACUAAGGUAAAUCUAGAAAAAAUUGAAAGUAAUUUUGUAGAAAACAAUUUGAGGUUUUUCUUAUGAAUGUAAGUAAUGCCAAAUAAUUCCAGUGUACACUCAGGAAAAACUCUUCUGGAAUUCAGCUGUGCCUCUAGCUUUUAGUUGUACUUACUAUUGGUGAUGAAUGCCUAUAUAUUUGUCUGAGAAAACAGACAACUCACACUGAGAUGCCCUGAAGUUAGCAUUCUGGAUGUUCUUUUCCUGAUCAGUUUUAUAUUUAUUUCACUACUCUUGCAAAUCACAGAGUAAUUGCAAAUCAGCCUACAAUGUUAUGGUACUAAAGUAUGCCAUUGAGCUCACGGUUUUAAAAUAUUACACCCACAGUUUUCUGUGUAAUUUUUUUCUGUGCCACACAGUGGAUAUUAAUUGCUUGUGAGUUUUCCCAUAGAUCAGUUUUGCACCGUCAGUUAUUUUGUGUCUUUGAGAUAUUUUGAAUAUCGCAUACAUAUAUUUGAGACAUAUAUUUGAAGAUGUCUAUGGUGGUUUUCUGUGCACGUAUGAAAAAAUACUUUUCAAACAACAUCUCUUUCUCUUGUUGUCCUGCUAUUUGCAAAUGAGAAACAAAAUGGGAGAGAGUUCUUAUCACUGUUGUUUCUUAGAUUUGAUGUGUUUACCUGUUCAUUCAUUCUAGCUGUUUUCUAAUGAUGAUGACCUGUUCCCCAACCAGUAACUUCAGUUGCAUUCUUCAAUCUGAAGAAGGCGGUACUGGGAUAAAGGUGAUUGAACUUUUGGAGCAGUUUUAAAUUUUAGUGGCUCCUUCCUUUGAACUUUCCUUAAAAAAUCUGAGGAUGUGAAGAUACAGGGAAGUAAAAAUACAUUUGAUGACUGAGGGAACAAGAGAAAGUUGUGGUGCUGUAGAGGUUAAAGCACAGGUGGGUGACAUAGCACAUGACAGAGCACUCUCAGGGAGAUGUCUAUGCUAUGGCUUGUUCUGUGUGCAGCAGCUUAAAACAAAUAGAUCUGAAAAUCCUUUGGAUCAUUCCUCAAAAAAAAAAAAGGUGCUUGAUGGUUAAGCCCAGAGUGAUUUUUUUUUAGCUAAAUUAUCAGCCUGUUAGUGCAUAAGGGAGUAAGGUGUUGAAUAGUGAAAUGCUGGAAUACCCUAGGCUAGAGCUUGCUGGCGGGCAUUGCUGCAAUAACACUAUAAUAGGCCAGGUGAAGAAGAGGUAGAAUAGAUGGGUACAUCUGCUGACAAUCUUUCUUUUUAAUUUGGAGCCACCUGAAGGCAGUAACUAGCAGAAUAAUAACCUGAUCCCCAUAUGGUUUCCGUUCUUUCAGAGUAAUAGUAUGCAGAAAAAAAAAAGAAAAAGCAGUCUACUUUUAGCUCUGGCUUCUGUUUGCCUCUUUGUGAGCCUGAGAACGUUUCCUGUCUGCUUGGUGAUGGGAAAUGUAACCAAAACAGACGUAGGUGAGUGACAUUUCUCAUGCCCAGCAUUCUGCUUUGGGUUUUCUGUAUCACCUCAGAGACGUUGCAACAUGUAGGAAGGGGGAAGGAGAUAGGAGAGAAAGAGCAGUGUAUCUUUAGCAUAAUUUACAGCUAACUUGCAGCUGUAAUGUUUUACCACGUUGACUUCUCAGCACAUAUUAUAUUUAAAAUGUAUUUUUCAUUUAGAAUUCUUUAGUCUGGUCCUGCAAAGAGCAGAUAAAUAUUGUCCUUAAAAAUGCACGUAGUUUUAUGAGUGGUGCAUUUUGAAGUAAGGAGAUUUGCUUUGGUCUCGGAUGUAUACAGAAACUCUGUCCUUACAGUUUUCUUAUUUCUGCUUCACUAUCUCCCCAUACUUUCCUUCCUGUCUGUGUUCUCUUAUUUCCUCUAAAUUACAGAUAGGAGGGAACAACAAUUUUCAUUGAAGCAGGCUUCACUUCUGGGGGAUAAUCUACCGCUGUUUUAAGUCAGGCCAAAAGUUCACAAGUGUGUUGUCAAACAUAAGAUUAUAUGACAUGUGGCUUUAGGAAAAAAAAAAAAAAAAAAAAAAAAAACCAAAAUCAGCAGUCCUUGGCACCUGGCAAACUUGAGAUGCACAGCAUCAAGAAAAAACUCUCAUUCUGCUUCUUUUUCUAAGUAGGUUUUGUGCCAGAUUAUGGCCUUUGCCCUGCCUCCCCUAGAAUAGGGUUUGCAGUGCAAAUGUACCCACCGUGCAAAGAGCAAGGUGCAUUAAGGAACAACAGACCAAGAGUUUGUACUUAAGCUGUAUUGAGUACUGGUAGUACACUAAAUUACUGUGAACAUGGGUUAGGAUGGCAGAAUGAAAGACAUUGUCAAUAUUGGCAUCUUUACUAGUAUCUGUUGCCCUACUGACUUACUUAAUUGCUUUAAUGAGAGAAUGUGAAGAUGAGAAACUCCUUCAGAAGAAUUCAGGAAGGAGAAAGUCAAGCCACCUCCUUUUACCUGUCCAAACAGAUAUCUGUGUACUUUCUGGAGAUGAGAAAUUAUGGUUAAGGAUUUGAAGGCACUUGGGUAGUAAGCACUUAGACCUGCACUUCUGUGAGAAGUUGUACUUACUGUUUUUCUAUUUGGAAAAAUGUGAACUCCUGGGACCCACUGUUCACUCCUUUAAUGUAACUGUAGGAAAUAAAGUCUAGGUUGUUCUUUUUCCAUUUUUUGGCAUUUCUCCUUUGACUCACUGUGUGUUCUGGUUCAGUGGAUGAGGGGGGCACAUGAUCAUACAAUAAAGCUUUGGCUUCUCCUGACCUGAAGCUCUUCAGGGGAAAAGGUGCUCUGUGGGUGUAUGGGUUUUUUCCAACACCAGUCCCAGUAUGAACGCAGCCUUCAAUGCUGUUUAGAAGCUUAAAAAUUAGCCUUUCUGUCUCCCAGUGGGAUUUCAGGCCGUGCAGAAGUCCAUCGCCCAUCUCUGCACAGACGCAGAUCAAAAGUUUCUAUAUGUUACAAGUACUAAGGUGUUUAAUUUGCAUGUAUGAGUAUAAGCUUAUCUACCCAUUAUUAUUUUUUAAAUGAGAAGAAUGUAGGCUUGGCACUGUGCGUUUGUCAUCUUCAUGUUCCUUUUCAUAUUGCUUCCUGGAUCGGUUCUGCUGUUACUACUUCAUCUUUUCAGAAUUUUGAGUAAGGAACAUGCUGAAUAUGGGAAAUACUUGCUUUUUAUAUAUUGGAUGUUUGUCACAGAAUAGUUAAGAUGAAACUAAGACAGUUUGCUUCAGCUGGUAGGAGGAGUUGGGAAGCUCUGUUCAGAAUUGGUGAUAUUAUGUAGUUACUCCAUGAAAGAGAGAUAUGGUACCUAUGUUAAGCCAGAGGUUUUUGGUAGCAGACAGAUGGGUUGGGUCUGUAAUUAAAAAAAAAAAAAAAAAAAAAAAAUGUGUUCGGGAUUUUUCUUUGGCAAUGAGGCCACAGAGCACCAAAAGAAGGUGGCGACAUCCAAAUUACAUUAUGGGAUUUACCUCUGGGCUGAUUCUUUUUCCUGUGGUGUAGGGGAGAGUGCCAACAGGUCUGUGGAAACCAAGGACUAGUCUAAUAAGUGUAGAGACACUUGAAGUCUACUGUCUAGAAUGUGGGUUUUUUUGUUUGUUUGUUUGUUUUUUAAAUUAAUUUACUGAUUUAGAGGAGUCCAAAGUUCAAAGAGGAGGUUCUUGUCAUUUAUCUCUGGUUAUUCUAUUUACUGAAGAUCAGCCCUCCAACUAGUGCAUUUCGGGCAUUUGGGAUUUUUUUUUUUGUCUUAAAACUGCUGAAAACUUUAUUAUGCUUUUGCAUUAACACAACACUCAUGUUACUUUUGCAUCUCUCUCAAACAAUGGAGAAAACAGCCUUAAGCAAAUGUAACCGUGGCCUCUGUAUAUGAGGAUCUGUGAUGAUGGGAGUGAACAAGCUUGCCUUUUCCCCAAGGUAUUUUUGCCCUUCGUUUAAGAUUUUGAGGAAUGACAGUGAUUUUUUUUUUUUUUUUCACUAUAAGAUACAGCGCACUUCUGCAGUGUGCUGUAAGUGCAUGCAUGGCUGUGCCUGUCUAUGUGCCUAUCAUGCAUGUCUAUGUAUUUCUAUAUGUAGACACAUAAACACACAUUGCCCAUUUCUAGGGAAGAUCUGCAGUGCUGUGUGGGUUUUGGGUGGCUGUUAUUGACUAAUACUGACAGGUCAUGUGGAUACUGGGGCUUAGACCCAGCAGGAGGCAGUGCAUGUGCAUCUCCAGCAUUAACGCAAUCGACAUCCUCUCUGCAGAAGGGUGGCCAGGCCUUUCCUUAGGAAACAUAUGCCAAAACUAUUACUGGAGACAACGUCAUAGCCUGCAGCAAACUGGACAGGAUGUUAAUGAGGAGGGAAUUGUGGAGGAAAGAAUCUGAGUGCAUGCCGUAUUAUCAAAACAAAAUGCUGAAUAAACAGAUUAUUUCCAUAAUCAGCAAUCCUGGUAUUUUGAUAUUUAUCAGGUUUAUGCUGUUAUAUUUUUCAUUACUUAGUUGAUAGCGGCUUAGGGGCUUUUAAGUACAAAAAUAAAUAAAUAAAUAAGUGAAAACAUCUGGGAGGCUAUAAAAGACACUGCAGACCCAAGACAGCUCAUUAUUUCUCCUUGACGAAGAAAUCUCUCUUGCAUUCUGUGAUGUCUGUGGCAGUGUGUAAUGAGGCACUUCACCAUGUCAAGCCCAGAGUCAUAAUUCUGUCUUAUCUGCUGCAAUAAUGAGACUUUCUGAACGACUGAACUCAGCAGAAGUUAUAGGUGUAAAGAAAAUGGCUUGUGUUUUGCAACUAUUUACAACAGGUGAAGACCAGAGAAUUCAGUUAUUUUUUUCCCUUGAGGACUAGACUGUAUCAGGACUUGAACUUAGAAAUUAAGAUCUAUUUAUGGUUUCAACAAUGUUUAGUACUAAUUUAAUUUCAUAUUUGGCAGAUUUCUUCUGAAGUUCUCGAUUGGAGGUUGCUUAUUUUGCUUCUACUUGUGCAUUUUUCUCCCUUCUUCUUCCAGCCCUUUCCUGAAAGUUUUCCUAACUGUGAGAUUUAAAAACGAGGGCCAAACUUCUGGAUUUGGAGAUGUAUUCAGAAAUUGGCUGCAUUUAUCUACAGUGGUGACUACUAAGCCUACAUAGUCUUAGUAGGCUAUUGAUCCAACCAAAGAGCAUUGCAUGGGAUAUUUUCAAAGGAGUAUCAAUAUGAAAACAUCAAUUAUUGGUGUUCUUUCUGCAGAAGAGCACAGAAAAUUUAUGUGUAUGAGAUAACUGAAACAAAUACCUUUGGGGAUAAUAGCUGUCCAUUUUAAGUAAUUUUUUUUUUUGUUGCUUUGGAAAGCAAAAUACCAAAACAGUAUAAUACCAAAACAGUAUAAUAUGUAUCUUUUUCUAAGAUGCAAACUGUUAAAAGAUUGCUUGUUUAUGCAUUGGUCAGAAGUUCAUCAUUAAUAUGAUUCCCUUGAAAUGUUUGAUUGAUUAUCUGUUUAUUUAUAAACAUAAGUCCAAAGCCAAUGAAAGUUUGUCUUAUUGUUAAUUCUCAGAUGCCUUUUCUUUGUGAGACAAUUAAAGUAUUUUUCCCUACAUCUUUGCUAACAUGAGGUAACUAAAAUGAAAUAAACUGUAGUUGUAAUCUGAGUUAUCAGGAUGACGUGGCCCUUGGCCUCUUGGCAGAGUGUUCACAAACUCCCUUGUCUUUGUUACGGUUUUACUAAAUGUCAGCUCCUGUGUGCUAAGAAUAGAUCUUGCUGCCUGCCACCCUGAUGAGACGGACCUUAGCCCUGACCUGCAGCUUGCCUUUCUAGGGGUGCACAGAGAACUAUUGGGAAAGGGCCACCCAAGACUUAUUUUUUUUCCCUUAAUCUUUCCUUUGCAGGACAAAUUCCUCCAAGUAACAGACACUUAAGAAAGAGAGAAGUUGGAUGUGCUAUGUUUGUUUGUGUACCAUAUCAUCCUUCCAGAUGACCUAGUUUAGGAUUCUGAUGAGAUCUGAAGAGCAGAGUAUUGAAAAUGUUUGUGAGAGCCUGUGUGCCAGAAUAAUAUGGGGUAAAAUCAUCUUAAUGAGAUGCUAGAUCAUUUGCGGAGUACUUCUCUCAGUAAAUACAGUUAAUUUAUUUUUCUGAAGAGGAACACAAUAGGCUUCUCACAGGAAUGCACUUCUGUAAAGCUGGAAGAAAAUAAGUAGUUGUUUUGACUCUUUUUAAAGCUUGUGCAGGAGCAUUUUUUGGUUGUACUUCUAUGGUUGUAGCCAUCAUUUUUAUGCAGUUGUUAUUACCAGCCUUCUCUAGAUUCACACAUGGAACAUAAUACAAAAAAAUACUUCUGAAGUUCUCUGGAGAUAAAAUGACUGUUCUUCAUUCUUGGUUUUUGGAUAUUCUUUUUUAAUCAUCAUGGAGAUGUUUUAUUGCUGUAAACUGAGAUCCAGAACCUAAAAGAUCCAAAAUAGUACUGUAGCUUCCAGCUAAAAAUCAAGGCCUGUCAGGUGGUAUCACAUCCACUCUCAUUUCUGCUUUAUUUGACCCAAGAGGAAAUUCGUUGUAAUGCUUGCUAACCUUUACUGAGCAAGAGUAGUGGCUUAAUAAACAUGAUUUUUUUCCCUGGGGAUCUUUGCUGCCUGGUCUAUGUCUGGGCAAGGUUUCCCCCUUGACAUUUUUCUACUCAUGUCCUGAGUCUUCCAAGGAACCCAGCAGUAGCUCUUAGGGAGACAAAUUGCAUUAGAGUUCCCCUGGAAGAAGCACAGCCUGAGAAAAACAAUUACAGUACAUUAAAAAAGAAAAGUCGAUUUUUUUCUGUUCUGAAUUUGCAAGGGGAAUCUCAGAAACCUGAUGAGUUCUCAUGAUCUCAUUUUUUAAAGUGAAAAGGUAAGAUUAUAGACAAUGGGUAGGAAACAUAACACAUUUUGCUUUUCCAUAGUGCAUCCUGCUAGUAAACUUCCACUGACUACAGGUCACGUUAUAAAAUGAGUGCAUAAAAGAUGAAUGAGUAAAGGUUAUUUACCGAAGGGAAGUUGACUUACUAUAUGUUUUUUAAAUCUUAAUUCUGGAUGAUGGCGUCCUCUAGUUAACUGCUUAACUUCAGUGAGUUAAAUCCUUGAAUAGCAGUAACAGCGUAUUAUAAUUUAUUAAAAAAAAAAAAAGUUUUUCUCUUUGCAUCUCUCACCUUUCUGUCCUUGCUUAGAGUGAAAUUCAGACUGAAUACAUGCUAGACUGUGUUGAUUUUUUUUCCUCUUGAUCUAGAUCCAUCAACCAGGAUAAAUUCCAUAUUGAAAUAAUAAAUAUGCCUUCCUAUCCAGGGAAUGGCAUUACAUUCCUUUUCACAUCCAUACAUGAUGAAUUAUUUGUGCUUGUUUGCUGUGUCAGAAUUGAAGAACAUUAGCAUCUCUUUGCAACUUAUGUGCCAAAAACCUCUUUUCUUGAUAAAACUCUUCCACUCUCUAAGUCACUGCAAACAUCUCACUCUAAGGAUAUGUAGUAAAAAUGCAAGUGAUGCUUACUUAAUAGAUCUGGAGGCUCUAAGAUAUACAGCUGCAUCAAUAAAAGGGGUGAAAAUUCAAAUUUGAAGGUGUAUUAGCCUGGCUACUGGUAUACACUUCUUUUUUAAUGCUGGUUUUUGAGAUGAAUAUAUGUGCACAUGUGUGCGUGUGUAACAGAACAUUAUUGAGUAUUUGUUUUGGCUGAUUAAGUAAAUGCAUGCUAAUUCUCCACAGAAAACAAUGGUAAUGAACAUAAAGACAAUAUCUGUCUAAUCGUUCUAACUUAGUUUCGUAUUAAAAAGAAGUUCAACUCUCCUCUGAAUUCUUAUGUGUACAGCACAUUUUGUUUCUCCUUAUUGCUUUGCUGUAAUGAAUGUAGUACCCGUUCUUGUGCCAUUAUUGGACAAGAGAUUUAUAGGAUCACAGGUCAUUGUUAGCCAAAUAAGUUCAUUGUUGUGAUUUUAAUACAGGAAAGUGAAAUAUAGUUAAUAUGUGACAGUUUAGUAUUUUUAAAUCAUUCCCUUGGCUUGCCAAGAGCAUAGUUCACUCUUCUGGGCCAAAAAAGUUACUUCAGUCUGAGUAUAUCCUACUUAAGUUUUCAAAAAUGAUUUAAAAGAGUUAGCGAACUGUGAAACUGAGUUUUGUUUGUUUUCAUGACUUAUCAUGCUAGCACUUCAAAUUCAAAUGUGGUAGCAAUGGUAAUAGGAGGACAGUUGGACUAGAUGAUUUUGCAGGUUCUUUCCAACCUUGUGAUUCCAGGAUUCCAUGAUAUAGAACUGAAGAGGUAUUCUUUCUUGAUAGCAUUACUCUAGAGAUUAUGGUAGCAUUAUUUUUAUGGCAUUCUUGUUAACACGGCAUGUAGUGAUGUCUAAUUGCUUUAAGUAAAUAAAUUUGAGGAUUCUGCCUGAUCAUCAACAUAAGUCAGACUUAAUUUAACUUUCUCCUCCAUAACUUUUUCUAGUUUAUGGCUUGGAGGUGGGAAACAUAGAAAACUUCAGUUCUGACUAGUUUCAGAUUCUGGUUUGCAUCCCCUUAUUUGUAUCUUUCUAUAUAGAUUAGAAUUCAUUUCUUAUCAUGCUAUAAUUUGAUCAGUUUAAGAUGCAUUAAGGUGCUUAGAUGCUGCUUUAACCAUGAAAUACAUUUUAGCAUUAUAUGUUAGCUAAAAUAAGUUAAAAGCACACUUCUAAAUCUUAGUCUAGACAAAGACAUUACACGUUUACUCAUGUACAAUUAACUGAAGACCUUUAACUUCUGUUCCUGAAUGCUCAACCUGUCACUGGUGCAACAUUUUGUCCUCUUUUAGAUUAAUUGUCUAAUGAAUAAUUUUGUUCUCCAUAUGUCAACCAGAAGAACAGUGACUGCUGUUAGAACUGUGUUAGUUCUGCAGUGUUGCUAAGUGGAAAGUAAUAAAAUAGAGUUAGUGAAUUAUUGCUGUAAAUGUCUGAGAUUUAAAUAAUAAUAAUAAUAAAAAAAAUUUGCCUGCUGACAAAAAAUACCAUUGGAAAAAUUUCCUGGAAAAUUCUUUAGAUCUUAUGGUAUCUUGGUAACAGUGGUAUUUACAAUGCAUAGCCUGUUUUCAUUAAUUAUACAUACGUUGUGCAUGCAUUAUAUUUAUUGUUGAACAGCAUACUACCGUAUGUACUACACUGAUUUUUUUUUAUUCUUAAAAAAAUUGACACAAUAAUAAUACAUUAUUCCAUAUUUUGUGGCCAAUUUACAUUUGUACAAAAGUACUAUUACUUCAACUUGAAAUUCUCUUCUUACAGGGUAUAUUUCUGUCUCCAUUCCUGUUUCUUCAAAUGAUUUUUAAAAGCCCCUAUAAUUACAUGGGGAUACAAAACAGACAUUAGAAGGGAAAAUGAAGGAGGAGGUAUGACACUGGUUCACACUAAGGGCUAAUUAUGCAUCUGAGAGUUGGAUUUUGGCAGUAAAAUACCUUAAGCUCUGAGGGGAGUUUUGCAACUGUUGUUGAUUUAUAAUAUUUGAAACACUGAAAAGAAGGAAUCCUGCCUAGCUAGUACAUGCAGUGUGGAUAGCCCAUUACUAAUCAGAAUACAACAGGUCUGAAAACUGCUCUUUUUCCAUCAGUACCAGUGAAAAUGCACUGUUAUUGAAUAGUAAUAAUAAUUAACUAACUAAGAGCAAGAACAAAAAAAAAUCUUUGCUUUCUCCCCAAAAUAAUAUGACGUGAAUACACUUGCUGCUCAGAAAGCAUUCAUUAUUGGCAUGACUCCUAUUAACAAUGAAAAUUGUUAAAAAAAAUUGUCUCACUCUGGUCCUAGACCACAUUUUUAAUAGCCUUUCCAGUUUCCUGAAUUAAGAAGGGACUCAGAGGCAAUGUGUAAUGAUAGAAAAGCUGUGAUUUCUAAGGCUGAAAAAGAACUUUGAACACAAAUAACCUGUUAAACCGGGUAGUUAUGAGAUUUUGGCCAGUUAAAUUGCUUUUGACUUUUCCAUCGUGUUAAUCAGUUAAUAUUAGGAGAGAAAGGAAAUAGAUACAGAUAUAAAAGUCAACAAAUGAGUACAAGACUGUAGUUUGCUAUGACUGGAAGCAUUAGGAGUUUCCUAUUGCACAAUGUACUUACAAUCUUAUAGGAGCAAAAACAAAGGAUAUAUGUCAUUGAUCACAUGAUCAUCCAUAAAUAAUUAAAAAAUAAAAAAAAGUAGUGCAGUAAACUUAUACAAUAUUCUAAGCCUUCAUGUAAGUUUUGCAUCAAAUAUUACAUUCCUUCUCAUUCUUUUCCCUGUGACCAGGCUGGGUUUAUUUCUUUACUUUUACUAGUGCAUUGACAGGGUUAUGGAAUAGAUUUCUACUCAAUUUUUAGAUGCGCUUUGAAAUAGUGGUGUGAUUAAAACAAAUGCUCAAGUAAAAAACUGAGGAAUCUUUGUGCUUAAGAAAAGUUAAAUAGAAUUUCUUCCCAUGCCUCUGUCAUACAACUGAACGCACUGAAAUUAUUUUCUUUCAUUAUUGAGACUCAUCCUGAAAUGUUUGAGCAGUGAAACCCCUGGAAGUCUGGGGAUGCUGGAAUAAGACUGGUCCAAUGUGUCCUACUGUGAGAAGGACAUGAAUCAGUGUGUUGACAAAGGUAGUUGGAGGCUGAUGGAGAGGUUUGGAGGAACUUUUGUUGUCUUCAGUUUUCUUACUCUCAAGCCCCUGACGUAUGCUACAUCCUAUAUCUGGAGCAGUUGAAAGCAGGACUCUGUGUUUGACCAAAUAGCAUAAAUACACAAGUAAAGUAGUAGCUUUCAUUUAGUUUGAAAUAGAAGUAGAGCAGAUAAUGCAUUUUUUACCAAAUUUCAGUGCCAAUGUGUGCUUUAUUGGUUGGAAAAAGCAUCUUUUACUAGCUGAUUUUGUAAUGAAUGAAGCUGUGAGUGUUUUAUGCUAGAUAUCAUGGCUCUUUAAGUCCAUUCCACCUUUGCUAUGCAGGAAAAUGAGCCUGAAAAUCUUGGUUCACUUGGCCUUCUAGCAUGAAAGCAGAUAUUCCACUUCUGUUGUCAGCACCAUUUUUUUGCUUGUUUCCAUUGUCAGUAUUAAUUGAAAAAGGUAAGCUUGGUUUUUGUGGAAUUCAAGUGCUGGCUUGAAUUCUUCUUGAAUAAGGAUGGAUUUUAACACAUGCUUACUAUUAAUCAUCAUCAACAGAAAACCUCACUAUGAUGAAAAACAAAGAUGAUCUAACUUCUUUAUAUAUCCACAUGAGCCAUACUAAUAGAAUUCAGUGUUUAGUACUUCAGGAAAAGAUUUUGUGCCCUAAAGCUUCUUUGUUCAGGUGUUUUUGUUGUUGUUUUUUUACAGCAUUAUGACUUUGUAGCUGGUGAAAGGUCUCACCAUUUGAUUAGAGACUCUGUUAAUCCCAGUCACAACAGCUCAAUAUCUGUAAUCUUCUCAAAUUCUCUUGCUGCUAACAGCUGAGACUUUUUAAUGAUGCUGUGUAUUAUUAUUUGUUUCAAACUUUUUCUUAUAUAUAGAAAAUAGUUCUCGUUUAUUAUAUGGUUUUUUUUUUUUUUUUUUUUUAUUGCCUUCUUGCCUUGUAUUGCAUAUUAGUGUCCUUAGAAGUCAAGACCCUGUGACCUGGAAAGAAGACCUCAGGACUGGAGGUCCCGUGACCAUUUCUGUGUCAUAUCUGAGUUACAGACCGUCUCCAGCUCUACAGUCAGCUCUAUUCACAUACAAAACACUGGAGCUUCUUGUUUUCUAAUGAGCUGACCCUGCAAAUAUUGAUGGGAAUCAUAUUCUAUCUAUAAUUUGGUUGUUAUCUGUCUGAAUAGUUCCUAAUAUUAAAUGUAGAUGGGAUAAAAAAAAAACUCAACCAAACAAGAAAACCCACCUCAGCCCAACAACUUAAUAAUGAUCUGCUUGAAGUUAUUUGAUAGAGCAAAUUCACACUUAUAAAUGCUAGUUUUCAGUGCAGUCAUCUGUAUUAGCCAUGCACUUUCAUCACCUGCAAACAAGAACCCGUGUGCUGUGCUCAUAAAAAUCUGUAUGGCUGUCUGCACUGUGGCUUGUCUUUCACAUAGCUGUUGCCACUGCUGAAAGGCACUACCUACCGCCUCACUGUGCCGUCAUGCAUUCUUUUAUCUGUAUAGAAGUUCAGCAAGCAUCACAGAAUGUCGAUGGGCACAAUUCUUUCUGCACAGAGGAAUUCAAUGACACACCUUUGCUUCAUGCAUACUUCCAUGUUAGAAGCCAUUUUGUCAGACUGCCCCGCUGCUGCCACCUGUUUCACAGCAACAAGAUGUAAUGGAAUAUUGGCAGGAAUGUUCAACCCCUACUGCCUUACCACCACCAUCUGCCUCUGAUGUUGUGGACUACCAUAAUAAAAUAGGAGGCACUGAUUUCAAAGUAGCCCUUGUACCACCUGUCCGCCACAUAAGUUGUGUUUGUUCCUUCUCCAACUCAUUUUAUUUUAUCCUUUAAAAUCCUUUAAAAAGUGAAAAGCGUGAGUCUUACAGAACUCAGUACCCUUUUCAGUGUUUGCCCUAUUCUUUGUAGUAAUAACAUCUUAACUGGCACCUUUAGGGGAAUUUACUCAGUAUUCUAGAAGCUUACUGUAAAUAUUAAUGGCAGGUACACACUGUGUUCUCUUGGCAGCCAAAUAGGCCCAAUAACAUGAAGUUCAGAAACUGAGGGCAUUGUGCUCUGUUGUGCCCAGUAGUUUUCCCAUAGGCCUUUUUUCAAGCUGGAGCUGAAGUGUUUCUUGUUUCUAAAAACAAUUUGCAACUGUUCAUAAUAGCAAAAUUAAAAAAAAAAAAAAAAAAAAAGUAAAAGACAAAGCUGAUGCAGCAAAGUCUGUUAAGAAAUGGGACUUAUGUUUCUUUGGACGUUUUCACCUUUACUCUUUUAACAAGGCUGAAAUUAGAAAGGAAUCAGUAUAGUUUUGUAUGACCAAGGCUUGGUUUUAGAUGUUUAUUUAACUUUACCUAGCUUUCUUGGAGAACUGUGUAGUUCCUGGCUUCAUGGAGGAUGAUAUGCUGCUGGAAAACAAUUGUUUUAAAAGAGAAAAGGCAAGAGUUUAUGUAGUUCUGUCUGUGUAUCCAGUCUCCUUUAAAUUUUCAGUCCUGUGGCUAAUGCAUUAUCAGACCGAUUCCAGUUUCCUGUUUAUACAGUGUCUGGCUUUGAUGCGAGUACAACAGAUUACGAAGCAGGAACAGAGUUCCUGUUUUAGUAAUUUCUCAUUAAGAUGUAUGUAAGCCCAAUGACACUGUGCUUGACAAUUAUUAAAAACAUCAUACCAGCAAGCACGUACAUUUCAUCAGUACCAAAGAUUUAAAGACAUACCACCUGAGCAGCAGCCCCACUGCUUCACCUUUGACCCAAGCUAUAGAUAAGGAAGAAAUUCUACAUGUAGUCUUACAUGUGUUUUACACUAGAAUGAUCAGUCUGGGCAGGCCUGAUAUUUCUAUACAAGUAAAUAAUUCUUUUAGUAAAAUAAAUCCCAAAGUUUCCGGAGUGCAUAAUUUAUAAACCAAAGUGAUCUGGAAAUUGUUGAUAGGCUUGAGUAAAAUGAUGUUCCUAUUAAUGUGUCUUCUGUUGUAGCAGUACAUCUCCUCUUAGAGUGGUCCGCAAGCCACAGCACUCAGUCACUAGUAUGGUAAUGAAACAAUUGGGUUGCAUGCAGCAUGAAUAUGCUGCUUUUUCAAAGAAAGGCAACAGAAUACCACUUGUUGCACGUAUAAAUAAAAAUAUGCAUGUCAAUACAGUUCUCUGUAUUUGUUAGUAAACAUGAAAGCCCAAGUGACUAGGUUGUAACUGAUAGUGCCAUGAAAGAGUCAUAGCAGAAAUUCAGAGUACACCUGUAAUGAACUCCACAAGAAGUCCCAGCAAUUUGGCCAUUCAUAUCGAAAGGCCAGGACACGUUUUUUUUCUCUUCAGUUAAGAUUUCCCUUUGAAAAAGGAUUUGGAUGACCCCGGUGAUCUGCAUCACCUAUUCCUGUGUUAACUUUCGAAAGUACUAAAGUGUGUACUUGUAAUAGGACUUGUUUGUAAUAAGCAUCUGUCCCACUAAGCCUGAAAAAAUAGCCUCAAUUCUUUUCCCCAGCAGCACUGUAAAAGUCAAGUGAGCAAUUCAAGGUGAUUAGAAUACUCUUCCCAAGCUGUGCAUUGCUAGCAAGUUUGCUGGUCUUGUAGUUUAAUGGGUUUGUGAGUUUAUUGCACGAUUUCGUCUUAAUGAGUUGUUCGUGCUACAGCUCCACCUAUACUUUCUAUUUUGCCCUCUUUAGGAAUAAUAUUAGAUUUAUUAUUAAGAGUAUAUUAUUAGGAAUAAUGUUAUUAUAUCAUUAGGACUGAUAAAUAUGUCUAAGCAUAUUCAUUCCAUUAUGUGCAAUAUCAUUCCAGUACCAGUAUCUGUGAUAACUGCAGCAUGUUUUCAGUAACAGAAACCUUACACUUAACAGCUAUUGGAAUAACCAUUUGAAAUAUAUAUUGCUGGUGAGAUUUGACAUGGUGAAUGUUUAUCCUGUUACUGACUUUUUGUUCAUUUCCAGUACUUACAGUUGUGUAAUUUACAUUUAUUUAUUGAUUCAGAAUGUUUAGAAAAUAGAAAAAUAUUCAUCUGCUACUGAAAGUCUGUUGAUGCACUCCUGUUAGAUGAGGGUUAGUUGUCAAAUAUUAAAACUAAAUAAGAUCCAGUUGGACAUAAAUAAACGAGGACUUUUAUUUCAGGUGUGCAUAUGCAUACUGGAACUGUUGAAUUCAGUGAUGGACUGGAUUGUUCUUAUGUAGGUCGCUCCAAAAGUAAUGCCUCCUAUUUAUUUCCAUAGAAACUACAACAGAUACAAAGAGCAAAAUAACACUAUUUGAUAGGGCAAAUUCUCAGCUUCAAAACACUACUUUUCAACAUAGUCACCACCAUUCUGUCAUAGAAGCUUCCUUCUCCUUCCCUACCCCCAGCAAAAUCAACAUAAUUCAGCUUUCUUUCUCAAUGGGACCCAAAUAGAUUUUUUUUUUUAAUUACUGAGCUCAUUGAACUUUGCACCUUGCAUAGAGUGUUUUUCUCUUUUUUUUUUUUUUUGUAUUUAUGUGAUGCAAUGUGUGAUUUCACAUGAUAUCUUGUGUCCAUCUAUGUAAUCUCUCUAGCCAGCAGAGUACUCAGUAUAUUUAAAGAAUCUCUGUCAACGUGUCAGAUUAUUGCAUUCUUCACAGGUUAUUCAUAGAUAGCACCAAGAAAACAAUAUAUUGACAUGUCAAAAACUAGUGCAAUUUCUAAAUUUAUUAUUGCUAAAAUUCUGGGAUGUUGAUUUUUACUCUUCUUCGGAUAUCAUGUUGCUAAACUGGUAUGUUGGAAACUUGCAAGGUGGCUGAUUACAGAGCCAAAUGCUUCUUGAGACAAAUCUUUAUAUCUUUUGUGCAUUGCACAAGUACAGACAGAGGGAUAAAUUCCUUAGAAGGGUUUUAAACUUUAUAAGGGAGUCCAAUAGAACGUAAAAGCUGUAAAUUUGACUAGCAGUUUAUGGCCUACUUGGAUGGGUAUGGUCUAUAUUCUUUCUUAGGCCAAGGUCGGUGGUUUAAAUACUGAUGUAAAAACUACUUGUGAGCAACUACAAAAGAUCCCUGCUGAGGAGAGUGAAGCAUUUUUGAUGAAAGCUUGUGUUUAUAAAGGAAGUUUUUAGAGCUGGGACAGAAAAGUUUUUGGAAGGCAAUUUCUGCCACAGUUAGUCUGUAGCUCUUGAGUUUAGAGCAGAACUUUUUGUUAAUUUUGUUUGUUUGCUGGUUUAUUUUUUUUUCUCCAAAUUGCUUUCUGGCAACAUCAAUUUUUCAAGAUUUCUUUCUCCUAGCUGAUAGGCAGGAUUGCUUUCUUUGAUUGUUUGGGCUAGUGUCUCUGGAUGCAGAACAUAGCUUCUUUUCUCUGAAUUGGAUAGUACAAAAUUUCUACAUACAGCCACUUACUGAUAGAACUGCUUUAGCCAUGAGACCACUUAACAGUGUCUGUGACAAUCCAGUAACUGCUCAUAAAAGGAAUGGAAACAUUACGAGCCAAUUACUACCACUAAAUGACAUACUGAGACAAGACCCUAUCUCUGUUCCACAAGUAUAAUGAGGUGGGUGCUUGAAUUUUGAAAACCCCAUGCUGACCUGGCUUAAUUACCUGGUGUCCGUCUCCUGCUAGAGGAGCCGUGGUGCUCAGCUCAUUCUUGUGGGGUGCCUGCAGGCAUUACUGCAACUGUUUAGAAGCUGUUGCAGUAUUGAAGUUUUGUUUGUUUGCUUUCUGGUCUGCUUGUGAAUAGUGGAAGCAAAGAUGAACCUGUGCAAUGAGAUGGAAUGACUCGUUCUCUGUGGAAGAGCUGUGUGGAGAAUGCCACAGCAGACCUGUAGGUGGGGUGAUCUUUGUAUCUCAGUAGCGUCCCCACGGAGUGUCAACGGUAUUUCUUCCUUCUCCUCAGUAUCUGCGUGAGACUUAUUAAGGAGAGGGUGGUGGUCCCCAAGCUGAUAUUUUCUCCAAGUCCUUGCAAGAGGUGGUCGGUACAGCUCCUUAUCCCUACAUCACCAGUGAACUUCUACAUCACAGUCAUAUGCUGUGUUUUCUGUGAUCCCUCAUUUAAUGCAGCAUUUAAAUAUCACAGCUAUGUGCAUGUAUUAAAGCCUGAAGCUAAGCAAACAGACUGUUUGGCUGAGCACAUGGAAAUGGAGCAACCAGCAGCUAGGAACCGCAACUUUGUCAGCAGCACCACUAACCACCAGGACGUAAAGGGGAUGCUCCAGAUCUUACAGACUGCUGUUGCCUACAUGGAUUUAGCUACACAUAAUAAGCUGUUCCUGCAACAAUCAGGCAUUGUAUCUUUAAUAUGAUAUCACUAAAAUAUUUUUGUUUUUAAAAAGCCCACCCACAACAACAUGCUGCCUCUGUUUUUAACAGUGGGAUAGCAAAAGUUUGCAAUGAUGCUUUGCUAGUGGGUGGGAGCAGUUACUAAAGAACAAUGUCAAGCAAAUGCAGUUUUGUUGUUCCAGGAGGAAAAAAAAACAAAAUGCAUUCCAAAUAAACUACUCCUGGAAGAAGAGAAAAUAAUAUAAAGUCUAAAAUCUCAUUUUGAAAAGACAACAAAUCCUAAGCCUUAUCAUUUCCCUGCAAAAUAUCAGCAACUCUUUUAUCUUCUUGUGGCAAAGCUCAGACUCUUUUCCCCCCACAUCAGCUUCUUCCCAGAUAGAAGUGACUGGAGGGGCAAGGAGAGUUCUGCAAAGCUGCCCCGUUACUUUCAGGCACAGUUAGCCCAUGGGUUUUUGUGUGUCCUGAGCAACUUUGAUUUUGAGUUUCAUGCUACUGAAUAUGUAAUCGUCAUUUUAGAAAUAUAUAUGACAAAUGAUAGAUACUUUAUUGUUGAUAGUUACUGGAAUUUGUUGCUGUGCAAAGAAAUAAAGGUAGAGUUACAGUUUUGCUUACUAUUAAGUAUUCAAAGCCUGAGUCGUACGUGAUAGUUGGAAUAUAAAAUAAGCCUUUUUUUUUUUUUUUUUUUUUUUUGGCUUUGCUGACUUUUUCUGUAGGCCAGUAAAAGAACUUGGCAGUGUUUGUAUAUCGUUUUUGGAAUAUGUCAAAACUUCCUAAUGCACAUGUUUUCCAGAUGCUAAAAUGAAGACGCCUAGAGUUUGGGAGCUUUAUUUUUAUCCAGCAGCAGAGGUCUUGGCACUAGCACCAUUAAAUCAAAAAGCCACAUUUGCUCUCUUCAAGGUACUUAGAAGAGUAUGAUACAGACAAAAGAACUGGUGCUGCUGUUUAUUUUGGAAACUGUUGACACAGCUCCUAAUGCCAAGCACACUGGGCUGGAAUAACCAGAGCUGGCACAAAAGAGAAAUUUAAAGAGUUCACUCCCUCCCUCUAAUCAGUAGGCAGUACAGUGACCCCUGUGAGUAUGGAAUAAUCCAUAAAAUAGCUUGUGUUGAAACAACUGUUUGGAAACUACAUGGAAUUAAGGUAUUUACAUCCCUCAAGAAGCUGCUUGUUUGUAAGAUGUAUGUUUUACUCUGUCUGAAAGCGUGUACGUUGCUUUCAGUGGUACAGUGCUGCACAGUAUUUGUCAUGUUUUCUGGGAAAGUUUCAUUUAGCAACUUUUAACCAAAUAUCAAACACAUUCUAUGAUUAAACUUUGGGUUUCUAUUAGAUACCAGCGCUUUACGUUCUAGACGUGAAACUAUGUAAAGCUCUCCCUCUGCUCUUAAAGGAAGCCACAAGCAGUUUCUUGAGCUGGCCGGCCGAGGCACUGCUCCAAGGCACUGGUUGUCAGUCUCCAAGCUCCCCUGGAUUAUUGUGGUGCACACUGGGCCGGCUCAGCCCCACGCGGGAGUUGGCUGAAGUCAGCCCUCGUGCUCUGUCAGGCGGUUCAAAGCCAAUGGGGCUGUCAUCAUCACUUGGCACGCCCGCAGGGUAACGCGAGGACAGGCAGAGGCUGCCAGAUCCUUCCCGGUGAUGAACUCUCCCAGGUCACUGUGGCGGGACUGGGGCUGGCCCAGGCAAAGUCAGUGGGGAUGCGGCUCCAGCAGGUUUGGAGUAGAGCUGGUGGAUUGCAGGGCUGGGGUUUGGCCCCUUGUACCUGUGAAUUUAAUCGGAGCCGAGGCUCUGAUGUUGUUUUUGCAAGAUUUUGUAUUCAUGCAUAGUGUGGAAGUUCACACACAUGCUUCAUGCACUGGCUUAAAAGGAGUCUUGCUCAAAGUUUGUCUUUGCUGCAAUUGUCCGAAGUGAUAAAAAUCCAGCACACACAUUUCGAGUUACCAUAAUCUUUGUAGCCCAUGUGUUACUCAAAGGAAGCUUAUCUCACUGAGGAUCCUGCUCAACAUAUUGCAUUAAACAUUGAUAUAAACCUUUAAGUAAAAGGAAUACUUGCUCUCCUCCAGCACGUCUGUGCUGUUUGAUCAAGAACAUAGAAACUGUAUACACACACACAUAUGUGGCUAUAUGUGAUUGUAUGGCCACAUACAAUUGAUUAAUUGAUUGAUUAAACCAUUAAGCAUGCAGCAGUGACUCCAAUAUUAGUAAGUUAAGUUGGGAUGUGCUAUUUCUUUGACAGCACUGGGUAACAGUGCCUAGAUUAAUAUUGAUACUCUAAGGAAUAGAAUAGUAUAAAAAAAAAUCCAUUGGAGCAAGAAAACUAUUGUUACAGUAAAGAGCAUUGAAAUGAACAUGCUUAUUACCAUGCCUCUCAAUUGCACAGAGACCAAAUGACAGAGAGUGCGUUCUUCUCUUCUACAUUGCUCUGCAUAUUUUGUCAUUACGAUGUAGAGCUGUCGCGACGGCUGUCUCCUGGUUAUGAUUUCCAAAUCCCAGCUCAUGAU